AGCCAAACUCAUUCAAACCACUACAUUCACUAUCCCCAGUGACUGCUGGCUGUGCCCUAAAUCACUCCAGUCCUCCUCUGUGUAACAUCUCAUGCUGCUGAAGACGUUCUUUACUACAUGGUAUCGGUAUAGCAUUGUUAAAAGUCUUAUUACCAAUAACAGGCCAAAGCAAGUAACAAGCUGAGCCUAAGUUCAGGCACUGGAGAAUAAGUCAACUCCUGAUGGCAGCAGCUUUAGUAUCAUCCUUACUAGGCAGUGGCAACUGAGAUGGUAGGCUACCAUCUCAUACAGAAAGACUGGUGGAAGGUAGUAAAUAAUAUCCCAUGUCCAACACAGUCCCAUUUAUGCAGAGAAACAAGUACACAACAUUGUCACCUACAAACUGUAUCUAAGAACUUCUCAAAGAGUAGAACUGUGUUUACACACACACAUUUACUUAGCAUACACACACACACACACACACACACACACACACACAUAUAUAUAUAUACACACACAUACAUGUAUGUAUGUAUGUAUGUAUGAAGUAAGUUUAUGAUUUGCUGUUGGACUGCAUCCUCUGACCCAGGUUGGAUAUGCUGAUGAAAUUGAUUCUGAAGACAAAGUUUGAGUUCUAGAAAUAAAAAUAUAGAAGAAUGUUUACUAGGAUUUCCAAAGAGAAAAAAUACUAAAAGCUUUAAGAGAACACUCCUCUUUCUCUCUCCCUCGUGUGCUCUCUCUCUCGGUUCUUUGCUUGUUUAGCAGUGCAGUUUUUCAUGGAGAGCUAAUAAAGCUCCAGCUCCGACAACGCCCUCCAUGUUUUUCCUGACAGUUUCUUAUUUUUAUAGUUUUACAGUUAAAGUGGGAUGCAUUUGACUUUCAGGUAUAAAGUUUAAGACAAGGGUUUUCUUGUUUUGUUUUGUUUUUAUUUUUGCAUUUUGGGUUUUUUCCCCCUAAUGAUGUAGAACUGCAGCAGCAAAGGAUAUGAAGGAUAUCCUUCACUUGAAACUAAUUUUUUCAUUGACCUUUUAUAUCCUUAAGCUGUAUAUUAUACAACUUAUAUCUACUUCAGUGUAAUACAAACUUAAUUCCAUUCAUAUAGAAAUAUUUCUAUAUAGCCUAUCCCUGCUCAUUUUCUCCCUCCUCCUCCUCCUCCUUCCCAUCACCUUUCCUUCUUUUAUUUUGGCUUUGGUGCUGUGGAUUGAACCCAGGACUCACUCACUCU
rnacentral:lncRNA from 1 species